rnacentral:rRNA from 1 species
GGCGGCGUGCCUAAUACAUGCAAGUCGAGCGAACAGAAAAGGAGCUUGCUCCUUUGACGUUAGCGGCGGACGGGUGAGUAACACGUGGGCAACCUACCUUAUAGUUUGGGAUAACUCCGGGAAACCGGGGCUAAUACCGAAUAAUCUAUUUCACUUCAUGGUGAAAUACUGAAAGACGGCAUCUCGCUGUCGCUAUAAGAUGGGCCCGCGGCGCAUUAGCUAGUUGGUGAGGUAACGGCUCACCAAGGCGACAAUGCGUAGCCAACCUGAGAGGGUGAUCGGCCACACUGGGACUGAGACACGGCCCAGACUCCUACGGGAGGCAGCAGUAGGGAAUCUUCCACAAUGGGCGAAAGCCUGAUGGAGCAACGCCCCGUGAGUGAAGAAGGUUUUCGGAUCGUAAAACUCUGUUGUAAGGGAAGAACAAGUACAGUAGUAACUGGCUGUACCUUGACGGUACCUUAUUAGAAAGCCACGGCUAACUACGUGCCAGCAGCCGCGGKUAAUACA